UACGUAGGGGGCUAGCGUUGUCCGGAAUCAUUGGGCGUAAAGCGCGCGUAGGCGGCCCGGUAAGUCCGCUGUAAAAGUCCAGGGCUCAACCCUGGAAAGCCGGUGGAUACUGUCGGGCUGGAGUCCGGAAGAGGCGAGUGGAAUUCCUGGUGUAGCGGUGGAAUGCGUAGAUAUCAGGAGGAACACCGGUGGUGUAGACGGCUCUCUGGACCGUAACUGACGCUGAGACACGAAAGCGUGGGUAGCAAACAGG
rnacentral:rRNA from 1 species